UACGAAGGGGGCUAGCGUUGUUCGGAAUUACUGGGCGUAAAGCGCACGCAGGCGGGUCGUUAAGUCAGGGGUGAAAUCCCAGAGCUCAACUCUGGAACUGCCUUUGAUACUGGCGACCUAGAGUCCGGAAGAGGUUAGUGGAAUUCCCAGUGUAGAGGUGAAAUUCGUAGAUAUUCGGAGGAACACCAGUGGCGAAGGCGACUGACUGGACAAGUAUUGACGCUGAGGUGCGAAAGCGUGGGGAGCAAAC
rnacentral:rRNA from 1 species